rnacentral:rRNA from 1 species
AUGCCUUGUUCCUGUGGUGCUGGAACAUGCUUAAUUCUCACAACAAAGGCGGGAGUUAAUGUUGGGAGGCAGUUUUAUCGGUGCCCAGCUCAGGGAGGUAGCUCUUGUGGCUUUUUCAAAUGGUGUGACGAUCAGCAGCAGCCUAGGACAGCUGCUCCACUGCAAGGUGGUUCAUCACCAUAUCAAGCUGGCGCUACCCCCACCAACCAAAGCAUGAGCAAGAGCUCUUCGGGCUGCUUCAAAUGCGGGCAAGAGAACCACUGGGCGAAGGACUGCCCGAAUCAAUCUUCGGAUCCUUACUCUGACAAAGGCGGGAGGGCAUUAAGUUCAGCAACCUCAUCUGAUGGGUGUUUCAAGUGUGGUAAGGCUGGUCACUGGUCCCGUGAUUGCCCUGUUGCAAACAGUGGUGGUGGUGGUGGUGGUGCCGUCGCCAGCAAUGUCAAGUCGUCUUCUACUUUGGGCUCAUGGAACAGCAGGAGAUACUGA